rnacentral:tRNA from 1 species
GCCUGGGUGGCUCAGUUGGUUAAGCGUCCGACUUUGGCUCAGGUCAUGAUCUCACGGUUCAUGGGUUCGAGCCCCAUGUCGGGCU